CCGUUGUAGUGCCACCACUGAACUGGACCCCGCGUUGAAAGUGUACACGUUACGCGUGAACAGUUUAUCUUUUCUUUAAAACAACAUACUCAUAAUUUCUACAUAAAAGAUAUAAACUUAUUUAAUGGGUAUAAAGAAAGUGAUUAACAAUUGAAAAUAAUGAAAGAAUAAUAUAUAGUGAUAAAUAAUUUAAUUUAGUAUGAUAUAUUUUUAUGAUAUAUUCUCAUUAGUUGUCUAUUCCUUUGUAGCACCUAAUAAUAUUGAAAAAAAUGGAGGAGGCAUUGCUACUCAAAAACUAAGCCGCGAAUAUUUCCGGCUUUCGUCUACGUACGUCUCUGCGGGCCAAAUCAUGUAUGCCGGAUAUAUCCAACGUUAGGAGUGAAAGGAUUAAGGAGCUUUUUUAGGUUCUUUCCAGUAUUGUUUUUGAAUAAAAAGUUGAGAGCUGUAGAUUGAAAUACCAAUUACAUCAAACGUUAAAAAAUAGAAGAGCCAUUCUUUAUUAUUCUGGCGUAGGAUUCUCAUCAUACAAGGAUACAUAGGAUAUUUAUCAACAUGAUUGAAUUCAAAGUGAAUUAUUCGUAGGUUGUUUUUUUUUUUUAAAGAAAUAAGGAGUUCUUUGUUCACAUAACUGCUAAAAUAGUUUUAAAGUAGCCAUAUUAUAGAGCCAUGGCAGAACUUUUUUAAGUGGUGACUGAAUUUUUCAAUUUCUUCGAUCUUUCAUAAUGAAAAGAUCCGAAUUGACACAAGUGAUUGAUUGUAAUUAAUUUGUAGAAGAGCAUUAAAUAACUGUAAUAUCGAUCCAAGUCUUAUCACGGAGUAAUUUCGAAGAUCGCUCUAUCUAAGCAAGAGCAGAGUAUCAAAAUCGAGUUUGGUUCUUCCCAAUUGAAAGAAGGAGAGCUGCCCAAGAUCACUUUCAAGGAUCCAUAUCCUAGAAUUAUUGUAAUUAAACACAUUUGGAAGAAAGCAAACAAUCCCGAUUCCAUCCCUCGAUGAUCUAGCGUGGAAAAGAUGAGGAAAAAAGAAAACAAAAAAAGCCAGAAGAUGUGAUGGAACGUGUACGAGGGUAAGAAUAUUGAAACUGGUAACGAAGGGUGGACGUUUUGAAGAUCCUUCUAUUUGGUCAAAAUCAGAGUAGGAAAAUGCAUUUUAUUAAAUUAAAAUGCAAGUCCAUUUUAAUUUAGGAUAAUUAAUAAUUGCCAUCAUUAUCAAAUACAUCACAAUUAUUAAUUAUAAUAUCUACUUUUACUAUAAAAUAAUGAGUGCUGUAAAUGUGAUUAAUUUUUGUACUGUUGAAUAAAUUAUAAAAAAUAAUGAAUUUAAUAUUAUCAGAAAUAAUUAACUGUUCACUGAGUUGCAAAAUAACAUAAAGAUUGAUUACUGAUAAUAAUAAAAAAUGUAUUCUUUGAUCAAGGAUAUUGAGUUACAAAAAAUUACAAAGUUAUGUUUCAGUAUGCCUAUCAAAGGUAAUGGGUUAUUGCUUAAUUGUAAUUUUGUUCGAGCUGUUGAACUAGAACUAACUUGUGUGUGUACAUGCGAGAGUAUGUGACAUUUGGUUAUUUGACCGUUUAUGUCGUUUACUCUUAAAAGUGAAAUAACUACUUCACAAAACAAAUUUAAAUAUUUUUUAAUCCUUUUUCAGAAAAUCAUUGUCUUUUCAAGUCAAUUCAUCAAUCUACUACAAUUUCAGCCUUCUUCACUUUCAAUCUAUUUAGAUGUAAACAUAUCUGAUUACGGAUCUAUUUUGGAUCAAUCUAUUUUGAUUUCAAUCUAUAAUACAAACGAAUGUUUUGGAGCUACCAUAGAAUUUGUUAAGUAGUGAGUGAAUAAAUUUAAAUUCCUCUAUUACUCGUUAUGGCAAUGACGGGAAUUUCUUUGACAUGUUACUUUUUUAAUUUUUAUUUAUAAUUUUUUCAAUAAAUUAUUGAUGAGCAUGACUAUUA